UACGGAGGGGGCUAGGGUUAUUCGGAAUUAUUGGGCGUAAAGGGCGCGGAGGCGGCCCGGUAAGUCAAAGGUGAAAUCCCUCGGCUCAACUGAGGAACUGCCUUUGAAACUGUCGGGCUUGAGGCCGGGAGGGGGUAGCGGAAUUCCCAGUGUAGCGGUGAAAUGCGUAGAUAUUGGGAGGAACACCGGUGGCGAAGGCGGCUACCUGGACCGGUUCUGACGCUGAUGCGCGAAAGCGUGGGUAGCAAACAGG
rnacentral:rRNA from 1 species